UAGCAAUACGGCAGCGGCAGACGGGAGAGUAACACGUGGGAACGCGCCCUUCGGUUCGGAAUAACUCAGGGAAACUUGGGCUAAUACCGGAUACGCCCUAACGGGGAAAGAUUUAUUGCCGAAGGAACGGCCCGCGUCCGAUUAGCUUGUUGGUGAGGUAACGGCUCACCAAGGCGACGAUCAGUAGCUGGUCUGAGAGGAUGACCAGCCUCACUGGGACUGAGACACGGCCCAGACUCCUACGGGAGGCAGCAGUGGGGAAUAUUGGACAAUGGGCGCAAGCCUGAUCCAGCCAUGCCGCGUGGGUGAUGAAGGCCCUAGGG
rnacentral:rRNA from 1 species